GUUGUGACGUAGAAUGUCCGCGCCGCUCCAGUUUAAGUAGGCUCUCACGCUGCAAGUCAACCUCUCUGUGGCGCUCCUGCCUGCUGAGCCGGACGUUUUCGAUUGAAAAUCAGAAAUGAGUUUAGCAAACUUCAACCUGCUGUCCUGGAGGCUUCACGCAUUUCGUGCAGGGAACAUGAAGAACACAAACUCGAGGAAAUCGAAGGUUAAAAUUAAAUGAUGAACAAACUCCGGAUUGUCUGUCUGAAGGUGUUGGACAGGUUGAUGUUCAAAAAUGUACUUUAAGGAUACAGAUGCUUUAAGUUGCCUCUGGUUCCCUGCAGAUCUCGCCGUUCCUUGUAACGCUUCUGGAUGAAGAUGAGAGUAUCAGGCAGUAAAAGGGAAACCUGCAUCGUUACGCCACAUCAUUCUGUUCAAUCUGAUGGAGACCUAAAGCAACGGCCGUCUGACAUGUUUUGAAGUUCUAGCUUGGUUUUCUUUAAACCUUUUGUUUCAGAGCUUCCCCUCCAAUUAACAUUUAUAUAAUCAACAGAACUUUAAUGUAUGUAGAAAAUCAAUGGUUUCUGUUGUAAAAAAAUUUCACAUGUAAAAGUCAUAUUGCAACUGUUGAGGUAAACAGAAAUACUCUCAUAUUCAGUCCUAGUUUGCACUUAUUUCAUUGCUUUGAUUUAAUUACUUGACCAAAACAACACUUGCUAAUUACUACACUAAGUGACAUUAAUAAAUGCUGGUCUUUCUGUUUUUUAUUAAAGUGUUUUGAUGUUAUUUAGUCUGACCUUGUUUUAUUUUUGUCCUGUUUUAGACCAGCUAAUGUUGUAUUACUACAUGAACUAAUCUGCUGUUAAGAUAAAUUAAUAAAAUUGUGAUUUUGAAAUUCUAAAAAUAAACAUGAAAAUCAUGA